UGCCUGUAUAUUCGUGUACUUGGGGUGUACUUAUUCGUGUGGUAAGUUAACAUCAAUUUUGGUUGUCAUAAAAUGAUUGGAGGAAUGUAGCUUCGAUCUCGUAUUGAAGUGUUAUAGCCUUUGGUAGAUGUGAUGAUCGGGAUUGAGGAUUGCAACGGAUACCCUUCGGGGCUACCUGUCUGAUCUCUGAUUGUUGCUUUGGUGCUGAAAGCUUGCUUAUGGUUAUCAAAGUCGAUGGUCAAUAGGUUAGAAUGGGUUAAA
rnacentral:rRNA from 1 species